rnacentral:ncRNA from 1 species
AACCUCACACAGCCCAGACACAGACAGGGUUGACAGACUGAGAGCUCUUUCUCAAUUCCAUGGGUAGUGAUGCAUGGCUGUUCUUAGUUGGUGGAGUGAUUUAUCUCGUUAUUUGCGGUAACAAGCGAGACUCUGGCAUGCUAAUAGCCACAAGACCCCUGAGUGGUUGGCGUCCAACUUCUUAGAGGGACAAGUGGUAUUCAGCCACCUGAGAUUGAGCAAGAACAGGUCUGUGGUGCCCUUAAACGUCUGGG